CCGGACGGACGCCCUGCGGGUAGUGCCACCCAUCCAUCCCCGACCCACCGUCCCAUUUAGGCCGCAUUAUAUAAAGGCUCUGCCGGUCGACGCGACAGCAAAGACAGAAACAGCCCCGAGAGAGGUUCGAAGCUGCGAUCUGCCGAUCGCAAGAAUUGAUGACGGGACGGUCGCCCUGCGGGUAGUGCCACCCAUCCAUCCCCGACCCACCGUCCCAUUAAGGCCGCAUUAUAUAAAGGCUCAGCAAAGAAACAGCCCCGAGAGAGGUUCGAAGCUGCGAUCUGCCGAUCGCAAGAAUGAUGACGGGACGGUCGCCCUGCGGGUAGUGCCACCCAUCCAUCCCCGACCCACCGUCCCAUUUAGGCCGCAUUAUAUAAAGGCUCUGCCGGUCGACGCGACAGCAAAGACAGAAACAGCCCCGAGAGAGGUUCGAAGCUGCGAUCUGCCGAUCGCAAGAAUGAUGACGGGACGGUCGCCCUGCGGGUAGUGCCACCCAUCCAUCCCCGACCCAACGUCCCAUUAAGGCCGCAUUAUAUAAAGGCUCAGCAAAGAAACAGCCCCGAGAGAGGUUCGAAGCUGCGAUCUGCCGAUCGCAAGAAUGAUGACGGGACGGUCGUCCUGCGGGUAGUGCCACCAAUCCAUCCCCGACCCACCGUCCCAUUUAGGCCGCAUUAUAUAAAGGCUCUGCCGGUCGACGCGACAGCAAAGACAGAAACAGCCCCGAGAGAGGUUCGAAGCUGCGAUCUGCCGAUCGCAAGAAUGAUGACGGGACGGACGCCCUGCGGGUAGUGCCACCCAUCCAUCCCCGACCCACCGUCCCAUUUAGGCCGCAUUAUAUAAAGGCUCUGCCGGUCGACGCGACAGCAAAGACAGAAACAGCCCCGAGAGAGGUUCGAAGCUGCGAUCUGCCGAUCGCAAGAAUGAUGACGGGACGGACGCCCUGCGGAUAGUGCCACCCAUCCAUCCCCGACCCAUUAAGGCCGCAUUAUAUAAAGGCUCAGCAAAGAAACAGCCCCGAGAGAGGUUCGAAGCUGCGAUCUGCCGAUCGCAAGAAUGAUGACGGGACGGACGCCCUGCGGGUAGUGCCACCCAUCCAUCCCCGAUCAACUGUCCCAUUCAGGCCGCAUUAUUAAGGCUCUGCCAGUCGACGCGACAGCAAAGACAGAAACAGCCCCGAGAGAGGUUCGAAGCUGCGAUCUGCCGAUCGCAAGAAUGAUGACGGGACGGACGCCCUGCGGGUAGUGCCACCCAUCCAUCCCCGACCCAUUAAGGCUGCAUUAUUAAGGCUCUGCCGGUCGAAGCGCAAGGAUGAUGCCAGGGAUGGACACUCUAUAAAAGAUUAAAUACUAUGCAAUAAAAGACAACACUGCAGAACGAGGAACCUCCUCAAUCGCAGGCACAGUCACUCAGUGUGUCGCGCCAAAUUGCAUCGCAAACAUUUUGGUGCUUUCUUCUUUUAAAAUACCCCGUGGCACUUCUGCCUACUCCUAACAACCCGUGGCUACGGCCGGACGGACCUCCGCUGGACAUUUAUGUGCUAGCUUGCCUUCAUCCCGCUAUAUGUUCCAUUAUUCCUUAACGUAAUUAAAAGUAACACAUAAAGAAAUACAUGUAAUUUGUUUUUAUUUGUUUAUAAGGCAGCCCUUAUCUCCCAAGCCGUAUGGCCCCCUAUCGGCAACACGUGGCAUAAGCAUGUAUGAUACCAUAUAUGGACAUACCUCCUCAACCAAUCAGAAUAAGGGACACGCCCCACUCUUAUGACAUCAGAAGCAGAGCCAAAUUAGGCUGUGCCCAAGGUACCAGGUAACAUCUCUAUUGGGCCCCUGAGCAAGGCCCUUAACCCCUGAUUGCUCCAGUGACAGUCUGACAUCAGUUUAUAUUAUAUGUUGCUUGGGGUAAAAGUGUUUGUUAAAUGUUUUCGACUCACUAUGCUGAUGCUCCUCCCCAUUUUCCCUCAGUGUUAGCAUCAUUGCAGUAGCAGCCUGCAUGAGCAGUAUUUUUUUCAUAUUUAUUUAUAUGCCCUAUUUUGAAGCAAAGCAACUUAAUAGGGUUUAAUGUGAAUUUGCUAUGUCUCAGCCGCUCCUGUUUAAACGCCCCCCCCCGUUUCCCCUCCAACAGUAGCGGCGUUAACGAGAGUCGGCAGGUGUUACAGGAGCCAGACUUCGCCCAGUCACUGCUGCGCGACGUCCACGUGCCCAUCGCGCGCAAAUCCCGCGGCACAUCCACGCAGGGCACCUCUACACACGCCUCCUCCACCCAUCUGGCCAUGCUGGACGAGCAGCGCAGCCACGCCGGCAGCGUCCAUAGCAAGAUGAGCAGCUACCAUGGUAGCCUGCACCGCUCACGGGAUGGCAGGUACACCCCCUGCAGCUACCGCGGAGUAGAAGAACACCCCAUCCACCUGGGAACGCCCCGCCUGAAUGAGCAAUCGCGGCACGGCAGCAUGCAGCGCCUCGACAGCCAAUCGCGGCACAGCAGCGUACGGGACCUCAGCAGUGCACCGCCCCCUCCCAUCACACAUGGAAGCGGCAUGAAUCGGGUCAUUGAGGAGGACGGGACAAGUGCUUGAGCUUGGUCAACCUGGAGGAGGUGCUGUGCAGCCGGUAGCCCGGACUGAGAUGCUUCCAUGUGCUGUGGACAUUACGGGAGUCCGCCCACUUCCUUACAAAAAUGGAUCAGAUACACUGUAAAGGCCAAAACCAGGAAGUGGACAUAAGUAAGUCUAGGGGAAUUACUUUGCAGCGUGAGAUCUGGCUUGUGGAAGCUGUGACUAACCAGCAAAAAUGUUUCAUGUACAGAUCUUCGUUCCUGUGGCAUUAUCAGUGCUGGAAUACAGAGCAGCUACUAAUAAGCUAGAAUUCAUCUUCUGGUCUAAUUUCCCAACAUGUAAAUCCUGUCUGCAAGCCAGCUACAGCCUUUUCUCCGUCUCAAAUUCCCGCGCCUCCUUCUCUAUGCCAAGGAGGGCGUUUUUUUUUCUCCCCCUUUGGUUUUGUGGUGCCGUUGUAGCUCGUGGGACAACCGCCCUACCCUGGGGAACAGGGAGGGAUAAUUAAAGUAAGUCUUGCUGGAGCGGUGUGGCUGAGCUUUGAUGUCACACAGGUGCAACCCUUGAGCCGGGAAAUGAAGUGGCAGUCUGCAGAAGCCCCGCCCACCUUCUAGAUCCGCACAGCCCUUUGCCAUGGAGGUCGAGAGGCUCCUCCAUGUGCAGGUAUUAUGGCCUCAAAGGGCUCUCCACUUCACUUCCUGUUAUAUUUCCUUGCUGGUGUGGAUCAGGAUGUGUAGAGCAGUGCAGUGCACUGAUUGAGCAUGAACUGCUACAACAGGAACAAAUAUGCAGUUACACUGAAGUCUGGAGUAAAGAUUCUUAUCCAUGGCUUUGAGACCUGAAUGUUAAAAAAAAAUAUAUAAAAAUGUUGAGCCAAAAUCCCACAUUCACGAACGGGUUAAGUUUAAGAUGUUUCGCUUCCAGCGUUCCUCUACCUCCUGUGCUUGGUUGCCUAGGUAACCGUAAGCGAGAGUGUGACAGUUGAAAAGUUGACUCGCACAACUAUGGUUGACUGAAAUUACAGCAAAUUGUAACUUAAUUAUACAAGUUGGAGAUGCCAGUAUAAAAAAGAAAAAAAAUCACCUGCAAACCACCGAUGGUCUUAAAGCUUCUGCAGGUAACAUUUGAUUAUUGUGGGUUUUUGAUAUCACUGCAGCAACGUUCAAUGCUGUAAACAAAACCAAACUGCGGACAAUUCCGAGGAAUCUCUACCCUCCGUUAUCUUUAAUUGGAAAUCUGCACAUUCGCCCUCCAACAUGUGUACAAAAGAUUUUAGCACUUUAACUUCGACUCUAGGUGUGUUGAAUCUGUAUAGGUGUUAUGUAACUCUUUGAAUUAAAGUCAUUUUGUAAAGAAUUA